rnacentral:rRNA from 1 species
UACGUAGGGUGCAAGCGUUAAUCGGAAUUACUGGGCGUAAAGCGUGCGCAGGCGGUUGUGUAAGUCUGGCGUGAAAUCCCCGGGCUUAACCUGGGAAUGGCGUUGGAUACUGCACGGCUAGAGUGUGUCAGAGGGGGGUAGAAUUCCACGUGUAGCAGUGAAAUGCGUAGAUAUGUGGAGGAAUACCGAUGGCGAAGGCAGCCCCCUGGGAUAACACUGACGCUCAUGCACGAAAGCGUGGGGAGCAAACAGG